rnacentral:rRNA from 1 species
AGUGAACGCUGGCGGUAGGCCUAACACAUGCAAGUCGAACGGCAGCACAGUAAGAGCUUGCUCUUACGGGUGGCGAGUGGCGGACGGGUGAGGAAUACAUCGGAAUCUACUUUUUCGUGGGGGAUAACGUAGGGAAACUUACGCUAAUACCGCAUACGACCUACGGGUGAAAGCAGGGGAUCUUCGGACCUUGCGCGAUUGAAUGAGCCGAUGUCGGAUUAGCUAGUUGGAGGGUAAAGGCCCACCAAGGCGACGAUCCGUAGCUGGUCUGAGAGGAUGAUCAGCCACACUGGAACUGAGACACGGUCCAGACUCCUACGGGAGGCAGCAGUGGGGAAUAUUGGACAAUGGGCGCAAGCCUGAUCCAGCCAUACCGCGUGGGUGAAGAAGGCCUUCGGGUUGUAAAGCCCUUUUGUUGGGAAAGAAAAGCAGCAGGUUAAUACCCCGCUGUUCUGACGGUACCCAAAGAAUAAGCACCGGCUAACUUCGUG